UUAAAUAUUUUCCAGAAUUUCAUGGUUAUGGAAUGGAGAUCAGACUUCUGCAGCCAUAUCUGAAGAGCAGCUCCUGUGUGACAAACACUUAACUGGUUAAAGAGUGUUUUACAACUCUACAAAAAGCACAGAGUAGAAUUUGAAAAAAAGGUGGACAAAGAUGAUCAAAGGUAACCAAAUAACUCACACAGAAGGGUGAUCUGUAAGAGCUGGGGCUCUCAAUCUAGAAAAGAGCCAACACAGAAGCACGUAAAAAUCACAGCAGACAAAUAGGAGAAUAAGGGAUAAACGAGCUGCCUCUUGCAUUGCAACAGGAAAGCCUCAGCUGGAAAUGAGCAUGUGGAAGUUCAACAUCAAAAACCAGGUGGGUAGUUCUUCUCUUAAUGGAAAAG
rnacentral:lncRNA from 1 species